rnacentral:rRNA from 1 species
GGUGGGGAGUUUGACUGGGGCGGUCGCCUCCGAAAGGGUAUCGGAGGCGCUCAAAGGUUCCCUCAGAAUGGUUGGAAACCAUUCGAAGAGUGCAAAGGCAGAAGGGAGCUUGACUGCGACACCGACGGGUGGAGCAGGUACGAAAGUAGGACUUAGUGAUCCGGUGGUAUAAAGUGGGAUUGCCAUCGCUCAACGGAUAAAAGCUACCCUGGGGAUAACAGGCUUAUCUCCCCCAAGAGUUCACAUCGACGGAGUGGUUUGGCACCUCGAUGUCGGC